AUCGCUUCUCGGCCUUUUGGCUAAGAUCAAGUGUAGUAUCUGUUCACAUCAGCUUAAUAAAAAAUUCUGACUUCAAGGUCACCUCCACUGAACUACUCCUUAAGAAGUGCUUUGGCCAAUAGCUCCU
rnacentral:snRNA from 1 species